rnacentral:tRNA from 1 species
GCCGCGGUGGUGAAAUGGCAGACACGUACGCUUCAGGUGCGUAUGAGGAAACUCAUGUGGGUUCAAGUCCCACCCGCGGCA